UACAGAGGGGCAAGCGUUGUUCGGAAUUACUGGGCGUAAAGGGUGCGCAGGCGGCUCCGCAUGUCGGCGUGAAAGCCCCGGGCUUAACCCGGGAAUGGCGUCCGAAACUAUGGAGCUGGAGUGUGGCAGAGGGAGGUGGAAUUCCACGUGUAGCGGUGAAAUGCGUAGAUAUCUGGAGGAACACCGGUGGCGAAGGCGGCAUCCUGGACCGGUAUUGACGCUGAGGCGCGAAGGCGUGGGGAGCGAACGGGGAUUAAGAAACCCGGGU
rnacentral:rRNA from 1 species